ACCUACGGGGCGCAGCAGUGGGGAAUAUUGCACAAUGGGGGAAACCCUGAUGCAGCAACGCCGCGUGAGUGAAGAAGUAUUUCGGUAUGUAAAGCUCUUUACUCAGGGACGAAGAAUGACGGUACCUGAAGAAUAAGCUCCGGCUAACUACGUGCCAGCAGCCGCGGUAAUACGUAGGGAGCAAGCGUUAUCCGGAUUUACUGGGUGUAAAGGGCGUGUAGGCGGGCCUGCAAGUCAGAAGUGAAAUCUGGGGGCUCAACCCCCAAACUGCUUUUGAAACUGUGGGUCUUGAGUGAUGG
rnacentral:rRNA from 1 species